AGUCUGGCGUCAUUGAAACGAUGUCCGACGCGAUGUAAACUAUGGAUCACGCAUAUAUUAAGUCAACAGAAAGGACACCUGGUUUCCAGGUAAUAAAAUACAGAUCUGGGCCAGAUCAUACAUAUUUCAGUUCCCGUACGCCGCCGAGGCUUACCCCUCAAAAACGGGGAUCGAAAAGAUUGCUAUCCACGCCAUAAGGGACAACACGAAAACAGGAGAGCAAAAGAAUUGAACUGGAUGAAAGACUGAAGCACAACAGGUGGUCACUAGUAGAAAAAUCUUUUCUGACAGAGUACAAUCAAAGGCCAAGACAGGAAGGUGAAUCGGAAAACAGUUUUUGGGACAGUUGCGCAAAAAAUAUGAAUGCAAAGUUUGGUGGAAAAAUAGAAAUGCUCCAUCUCCAGUUCCCCAGAAAAAGUUGGUGAGUUUACAGAACUACUAGAACUGCCAGAGACAAGCGGAAACAAUGUGGGAACACAGACUGAUUUGUCUUUUCCUAUUAAUAGGUAAGAAACAUUGAAAAUAUAUAU